GCCUUGGUGGUGCAACGGUUAAGCACUUGGCUGCUAACCAAAAGGUUGGUGGUUCAAAUCCACCCGGUGACU
rnacentral:tRNA from 1 species